rnacentral:rRNA from 1 species
ACAGGGAUUGCCCUAGUAACGGCGAGUGAAGCGGCAUCAGCUCAAAUUUAAAAUCUGGCUCUUUUAGGGUCCGAGUUGUACUUUGCAGAGGGCGCUUUGGCUUUGGCAGCGGUCCAAGUUCCUUGGAACAGGACGUCACAGAGGGUGAGAAUCCCGUACGUGGUCGCUGGCUAUUGCCGUGUAAAGCCCCUUCGACGAGUCGAGUUGUUUGGGAAUGCAGCUCUAAAUGGGAGGUACAUUUCUUCUAAAGCUAAAUAUUGGCCAGAGACCGAUAGCGCACAAGUAGAGUGAUCGAAAGAUGAAAAGCACUUUGGAAAGAGAGUCAAACAGCACGUGAAAUUGUUGAAAGGGAAGCGCUUGCAGCCAGACUUGCUUGCAGUUGCUCAUCCGGGCUUUUGCCCGGUGCACUCUUCUGCAGGCAGGCCAGCAUCAGUUUGGGCGGUAGGAUAAAGGUCUCUGUCACGUACCUCUCUUCGGGGAGGCCUUAUAGGGGAGACGACAUACUACCAGCCUGGACUGAGGUCCGCGCAUCUGCUAGGAUGCUGGCGUAAUGGCUGUAAGCGGCCCGUCUUGAAACACGGACCAAGGAGUCUAACAUCUAUGCGAGUGUUUGGGUGUCAAGCCCGAGCGCGUAAUGAAAGUGAACGGAGGUGGGAACCCGCAAGGGUGCACCAUCGACCGAUCCUGAUGUCUUCGGAAGGAUUUGAGUAAGAGCAUGGCUGUUGGGACCCGAAAGAUGGUGAACUAUGCUUGAAUAGGGUGAAGCCAGAGGAAACUCUGGUGGAGGCUCGCAGCGGUUCUGACGUGCAAAUCGAUCGUCAAAUUUGGGCAUAGGGGCGAAAGACUAAU